CAAUAGUGGAAACCAGCUACCACUGAAAAAACGGGGCGACACCGAAAAGCCAAAUGAGUAGGAAGUUU
rfam:Flavobacteriaceae bacterium CG2_30_34_30 cg2_3.0_scaffold_18_c, whole genome shotgun sequence.